rnacentral:rRNA from 1 species
GACGAACGCUGGCGGCGUGCUUAACACAUGCAAGUCGAACGGAAAGGCCCUGCUUUUGUGGGGUGCUCGAGUGGCGAACGGGUGAGUAACACGUGAGUAACCUGCCCUUGACUUUGGGAUAACUUCAGGAAACUGGGGCUAAUACCGGAUAGGAGCUCCUGCUGCAUGGUGGGGGUUGGAAAGUUUCGGCGGUUGGGGAUGGACUCGCGGUUUAUCAGCUUGUUGGUGGGGUAGUGGCUUACCAAGGCCUUGACGGGUAGCCGGCCUGAGAGGGUGGCCGGCCACAUUGGGACUGAGAUACGGCCCAGACUCCUACGGGAGGCAGCAGUGGGGAAUAUUGCACAAUGGGCGGAAGCCUGAUGCAGCAACGCCGCGUGCGGGAUGACGGCCUUCGGGUUGUAAACCGCUUUCGCCUGUGACGAAGCGUUAGUGACGGUAAUGGGUAAAGAAGCACCGGCUAACUACGUG